GCUUUGGCAGAGGGCAUAAGGACAAGAGAAAUUGAAUGGUUGGAUCCAAUGGAGACUCAGUCUGCUGUGGACCUAACCCAAGCUCUUAUAGAGGAGCAUGAGAACAUUGCACAUGGAGUGCCAGGACACAUGACUAAAGUUUCUGAGGGCAGAUACAGCAGCAGCUUUCAGCUCGAUGGUCAUUGAGAGAGGAGACCUGGACUUCACAGAACAACUGUGGGAGAAGAUGAGGAGUAAAUAUUAAUUCUUUUAGUUAUUUAUUAGUUUGUGUUACAGAUUUUUACACUAAACAGAUUUUUAGCAGACUGCCUGAAAAUUGACGUCAAAGCAGUAAGACAUGG